CCCUCCCUUGUUUCUCCCGCCUAUAUACCGCCGUCCGUAAGCUUACCCUGUGAAGGCCUCAUAGUAAGCUAAAUUGGCACCACCCAAAACGUCAGGUCGAGGUGUAGCACAUGAGAGGGGAAGAGAUGGGCUACAUUCGCUAAUCUAGCGAAUACGAAUGAUUUGUACUGAAAAUGUACAUCUGAAGGAGGAUUUAGCAGUAAGUGGGAAACAGAGUGUUCCACUGAAGCCGGCUCUGAAGUGCGUACACACCGCCCGUCACUCUCCCUAAGCCUUUUACAAAUGAUAUACAUAAAAUGCCCUAACCGCUAAGGGGAGGCAAGUCGUAACAUGGUAAGUGUACCGGAAGGUGCACUUGGAAAAAAU
rnacentral:rRNA from 1 species